rnacentral:rRNA from 1 species
UAACGCGUAUGCAACCUACCCUUAACUGAGGGAUAGCCCGGAGAAAUUCGGAUUAAUACCUCAUAGUAUCACCAGAAGGCAUCUGAAGGUGAUUAAAGAUUUAUUGGUUAAGGAUGGGCAUGCGUGACAUUAGCUAGUUGGUGAGGUAACGGCUCACCAAGGCCACGAUGUCUAGGGGUUCUGAGAGGAUGAUCCCCCACACUGGUACUGAGAUACGGACCAGACUCC